rnacentral:misc_RNA from 1 species
CGCUUGCGUGAGUGAUGGCAGUGGAGCUCUCCCGAUUUUUUCUAUCGGGAAGCGGGAACGUACAGCACGACCUCCU